GAUCAUUACUGAUUUGCUUAAUUGCACCACAUGUGUUUUUCUUUGAAACAAACUUGCUUUGGCGGUGGGCCCAGCCUGCCGCCAGAGGUCUAAACUUACAACCAAUUUUUUAUCAACUUGUCACACCAGAUUAUUACUUAAUAGUCAAAACUUUCAACAACGGAUCUCUUGGUUCUCGCAUCGAUGAAGAACGCAGCGAAAUGCGAUACGUAAUAUGAAUUGCAGAUAUUCGUGAAUCAUCGAAUCUUUGAACGCACAUUGCGCCCUCUGGUAUUCCGGAGGGCAUGCCUGUUUGAGCGUCGUUUCUCCCUCAAACCGCUGGGUUUGGUGUUGAGCAAUACGACUUGGGUUUGCUUGAAAGACGGUAGUGGUAAGGCGGGAUCGCUUUGACAAUGGCUUAGGUCUAACCAAAAACAUUGCUUGCGGCGGUAACGUCCACCACGUAUAUCUUCAAACUUGACCUCAAAUC
rnacentral:misc_RNA from 1 species